CUAGUGUUGAUUGUACAAUACCAUAUUUAGCUACAGGUAGACACUGAGUUGCUUCUAGUUAUUGUCAGAGCAAACACACUGCCAGGGAUAAUGUCAUAUGUACUUGCAUGAUGUACAUGCACAUGCUUUUGCAGAUACCUAGAACUGGUUCUAAACAUGGACUUGCUGGCUCAAAUUACACGUGCAUUUGUAAUUCCGACAAGUUUUACCACAUUGUCUUCCGUAGAUGGUGGUGGUAGCCAUUUGUGAUCCCACUAGCAACAAAUAAAAGUCUCUUUCCCUAAGGCUGGCUCAAGUUUUGAAGAACUUCAGAAUAGAAAUUAUUCCACUCUGCACCGAUUUGUAGGGGAAAGAAGCAUUGCUUUAUUUUAUUCUCUGAUCACUUUGUAACCUUGCUACUGCUUGCCUCUUGCUUUCUGCAAGAGUAGCCAAGUUACUUAAGAACUUACACCUUAAUUUCCUUACCUCUAAAAUAGGACUGUAAGAAAACCUAUCACUUUUGAUAGUUGGGAGAAUUCCAGGAGCACACCAAGCAUAAUGUGCUCUUCAGACAGAGCUACGGUAGAAGUGCAUGCCCACAUCACAAACCGCAAAGGCACUGAACAUUUUCUUGGAAGAGGAUGAAUCUUGGUUCUAGAUGACUUCCUGUUGACUCAUGGAGGACUCAGGCAUACCACAGUGGAUGCUGGCAACUUAAAAUAAUAAAAAGAAUGGAGCUCCAAUUCAGGUAAGUUUUCAUCAUGCUCAAGGCAAAAUUUCUGGUCUUGCCGAGUGCUUGAAUUAUCCUCAAUUAGAAUCUCCAGCUCCCUGCUGCUGUUGCUUGUUGCUCUAAUUAUUCUGCCAUCGUUAAUUCAAUGAGGCCUAUUAACCUACAUCAGAUAGUGUAUUUAUCUAUGAUGUGCAGUACCUGCUCUUCUAGACAAGCAGUUGUCAUACUCCAGGCCUGCUGUCUCUGUCAAGGUCCAAUAUUGUC
rnacentral:lncRNA from 1 species